UUCUGCUCAAUUUUGCUGUGAACCUAAAACUUCUCUAAAAACUAAAGUUUAUUAAUUUAAAAGAAAAAUUCUUCCAUGACUUCUCACUGCAUUAGACAAAGAUCGCACCUCCCCCUCUGGCUUGCCUUUGCCCUCACCAUCUAACUCCUGUCCUGCAGGGUUUCUGUCCCCUGAGCAGGCCUUUCUCUGGACCACUUCUCACGUCCCUACUGUCCAUCUGGCCCCCAGCCCUGUCACAGCUCCCAUUCCUCCCCCUCUGGGGGGACAUGCACGAUACCCUCCAGGGGCCUCACACAAGCCAGUGAUGUCCUCAUUCCUGGGAAUGUGUGCAGUGGUGGGUCUCUCCAGGGCGAUUUCUGCCCAGGAGUCGCUUGGUACUAUGUGGAGACAUUCACUUGCGUAAUUCAAAGACUCAGAGACAUUCCAGUGUGCCCCAACCUUCCCCCCUCAGCUCUGAGGGUUCCUCCCUCACCAACCUGCAGGGCCUGGCCUCCUGGGUGCCUACGGCCCCUGCCCUCUCCUUCUCCCCCACCACCUCGCAGCUUCGUUCUGUUCCCGCCCUUCACGCGCCACCAGCCUGAGACCCUUGGUUCCACCUUCUCCCCAGGAGUAUUCUCUGAAGCCAGGGGUGUGUGCUCACUGCUUCGAGUGUGGUACCUGCUCUGGCCUGGUCCGCAGCUCCCUCUGGCCCAGGCGAGCGCCACUGCCAAGCCCGGCGAACCCUAGGCGGUCUGUGAUGUUUGCUGACCCUUCUCUUGGCUACAGAGUCACGCAUGGGCUGAGAUGUGAAGUCCAGGGUGCCCUGCCUCCUCCAAGCACCUCUCAGGUUUUUCCCACCUUAGGUGGGACAGGAAGGCUGGAGGGGGCUGGAGUUGGGUAUUUCUCUUCCUCCAGGUUGAUUAGACUGACAAGACCCCAGUAGGUUAGGCUCUGGUAAAAGUUUCUCCUGAAGACAGAACUGUUUAGGAAGAACAGAAUGCUCUGCGUGUUUCAAAAUGGUUACUCUUCCCUCCUCCUGCCGGAAGCACAAGGGGAUUUCCCUCCAGUAUUCACUGUGAGAACCUGCUGGAGCUCCUGGCGGUAAUCUCACGAGAGCGGGAGGCUGGAGACUGGGUCCCUGGAGUUUUUAUCUCUGGGAUUGUCCACAUGGAGCCUCCAGUAAUUGGUCAGUUACAGUUCAGGGUUCCUGCUAGCACUGGCUCCCAGAGGUUUCUGUUCCCGCAGAACAGAAACUCUCCCCAUUAAACAUCCACUUCCUCUUACUCCUCUCCCCAGCCCCUCGUACCACCAUUCUCCUUUCUAUGAAUUUGACUACUCUGGCUUCCUUGAGACUUUAACAUAGACAAAAUUAUUGCUCUUCUCCUUGAUGGCUUGUACUCUGCUGUGUUGUCUGAGCCACAGAUGAUGACGAUGCCCUGGAUGCUCUCCAGCAGGGCUGGGCUCCUCAGUUGUGCUGUGGCACUGCCACUCUUUCGCCUGCAUUUUCCUGCAGUGUCAAAGCCAGACAAGGGAGAUGGGCAGAGGUGGGUGGGGAGUAGAUGCGCAGGGCAGUUGUCCCC
ensembl:lncRNA